rnacentral:rRNA from 1 species
UUAUGUAUAUAGUAUUUUUUUCCCCUAUCAUGACGAACCGCGCGGCGUGCUAAUACAUGCAAGUCGAGCGGACAGAUGGAGCUUGCUCCUGAUGUAGCGGCGGACGGGUGAGUAACACGUGGGUAACUGCCUGUAAGACUGGGAUAACUCCGGGAAACCGGGGCUAAUACCGGAUGGUUGUUUGAACCGCAUGGUUCAGACAUAAAAGGUGGCUUCGGCUACCACUUACAGAUGGACCCGCGGCGCAUAGCUAGUUGGUGAGGUAACGGCUCACCAAGGCAACGAUGCGUAGCCGACCUGAGAGGGUGAUCGGCCACACUGGGACUGAGACACGGCCCAGACUCCUACGGGAGGCAGCAGUAGGGAAUCUUCCGCAAUGGACGAAAGUCUGACGGAGCAACGCCGCGUGAGUGAUGAAGGUUUUCGGAUCGUAAAGCUCUGUUGUUAGGGAAGAACAAGUGCCGUUCAAAUAGGGCGGCACCUUGACGGUACCUAACCAGAAAGCCACGGCUAACUACGUGCCAGCAGCCGCGGUAAUACGUAGGUGGCAAGCGUUGUCCGGAAUUAUUGGGCGUAAAGGGCUCGCAGGCGGUUUCUUAAGUCUGAUGUGAAAGCCCCCGGCUCAACCGGGGAGGGUCAUUGGAAACUGGGGAACUUGAGUGCAGAAGAGGAGAGUGGAAUUCCACGUGUAGCGGUGAAAUGCGUAGAGAUGUGGAGGAACACCAGUGGCGAAGGCGACUCUCUGGUCUGUAACUGACGCUGAGGAGCGAAAGCGUGGGGAGCGAACAGGAUUAGAUACCCUGGUAGUCCACGCCGUAAACGAUGAGUGCUAAGUGUUAGGGGGUUUCCGCCCCUUAGUGCUGCAGCUAACGCAUAAGCACUCCGCAUGG